UACGUAGGGUGCGAGCGUUAAUCGGAAUUACUGGGCGUAAAGGGCGCGUAGGCGGCAAAUUAAGUCAGCUGUGAAAUCUCCGAGCUUAACUCGGAACGGUCAGCUGAUACUGAUCUGCUAGAGUGCGGAAGGGGCAAUCGGAAUUCUUGGUGUAGCGGUGAAAUGCGUAGAUAUCGGGAGGAACACCUGUGGCGAAAGCGGCGCACUGGACCAUAACUGACGCUGAUGCGCGAAAGCUAGGGGAGCAAACAGG
rnacentral:rRNA from 1 species